GCGACCCCAGGUCAGGCGGGGCCACCCGCCGA
rnacentral:rRNA from 1 species